UAAUACGGAGGAUCCGAGCGUUAUCCGGAUUUAUUGGGUUUAAAGGGAGCGUAGGUGGACAGUUAAGUCAGUUGUGAAAGUUUGCGGCUCAACCGUAAAAUUGCAGUUGAUACUGGCUGUCUUGAGUACAGUAGAGGUGGGCGGAAUUCGUGGUGUAGCGGUGAAAUGCUUAGAUAUCACGAAGAACUCCGAUUGCGAAGGCAGCUCACUGGACUGCAACUGACACUGAUGCUCGAAAGUGUGGGUAUCAAACAGGAUUAGAUACCCUGGUAGUCCACACAGUAAACGAUGAAUACUCGCUGUUUGCGAUAUACAGUAAGCGGCCAAGCGAAAGCAUUAAGUAUUCCACCUGGGGAGUACGCCGGCAACGGUG
rnacentral:rRNA from 1 species